CUCCUACGGGAGGCAGCAGUCGGGAAUAUUGCGCAAUGGAGGAAACUCUGACGCAGUGACGCCGCGUGCAGGAAGAAGGUUUUCGGAUUGUAAACUGCUUUAAACAGGGAAGAAAAAAGACAGUACCUGUAGAAUAAGCUCCGGCUAACUCCGUGCCAGCAGCCGCGGUAAUA
rnacentral:rRNA from 1 species